AUAUUUUUUUUAGAGACGGAGUCUUGCCACGUUGCCCAGGCUGGUCUUGAACUUCUGGACUCAAGAGAUCCUCUCACCGUGGCUUCCCAACGUGCUGGGAUUACGGACGUGACCCACCGUGCCUGGCACGAAGGUGCUAUUUCUGACCUCCUGAGCGUGACAAGUAGUUCUCUUGGAUUUUCCAGCUUUUUCUUGUGAAGCCUGGUGCCCACCCUUCUCCUGGUUGGCAUUCUCCUCUAUGCUGCCAGGAGGGGCCUUAUGGGAUCCAGGCGCAGUAGAUGAGGAGGGGGCCUCUUCAGUGUUGGUGAGACAACAGCCAAGAUCUUAGAAAGCAACAUCGAUGUGCGAUUUGCAGACGUAGCUGGGUGCGAAGAAGCCAAAUUGGAAAUUACGGAAUUUGUGAAUUUCCUGAAGAAUCUCAAGCAGUAUCAGGACUUAGGAGCAAAAAUUCCAAAGGGAGCCAUGCUCAUUGGUCCUCCUGGUACCGGCAAGACCCUUCUUGCCAAAGCAACUGCAGGGGAGGCCACUGUGCCCUUCAUCACUGUGAACGGGUCUGAGUUCCUGGAAAUGUUUGUUGGCGUUGGGCCAGCAAGGGGUGCAACUCUGCCACCAACGUCGUGACGUUGGCUGGCACCAAAUGCCCUGGCAUCCUGGACCCGGCCCUGAUGCGGCCUGGCCGGUUUGAUCGCCAGAUUUACAUUGGUCCCCCUGACAUCAAAGGCAGGGUCCUCCAUCUUUAAGGUCCACCUACGCCCACUGAAGCUGGACGAGAGCCUCAAUAAGGAUGUCCUGGCGAGGAAGCUGGCAGCGCUCACCCCAGGCUUCACUGGUGUCCAUCAUCCCCCGGGGCAAGGGGCUCGGCUACGCACAGUACCUGCCCCGGGAGCAGCAGCUCUACACCCAGCAGCAGCUCUUCGACCGCAUGUGCAUGAUGCUUGGGGGCCGGGUGGCUGAGCAGCUAUGCUUCGGGCAGAUCACUACGGGGGCUCAGGAUGACCUGAGGAAGGUCACCCAGAGCGCCUACGCCCAGGUAAGGGUGGGCAUCCCCCCGCACGGGCUGCAGGAGGCUAUGUUGGGCGCAGGCUCAUCCCGGGUUCCGCACUUGCAGAUUGUGCAGUUUGGGAUGAGUGAGAAGCUGGGCCAGGUGUCCUUCGACUUUCCCCGACAAGGCAAGGCCCUGGUGGAGAAGCCGUACAGCGAGGCAACCGCCCAGCUCAUUGAUGAGGAGGUCCGGCACCUCGUCAGUGCCGCCUACAAGCACACCCUGGACCUGCUGACACAGUGCCGGGAGCAUGUGGAGAAGGUGGGCCAGCGGCUCCUGGAGAAGGAAGUGCUGGAGAAGGCAGACAUGGAGCUGCUGGGCCCCCGGCCAUUCGCGGAGGAGUCUACCUAUGAGGAGUUUGUG
rnacentral:sRNA from 1 species